rnacentral:other from 1 species
CGUGGUACAAUGUAUUUAACAUUUUGUUGGGUUAGAGAAACGAAUUUCUUCAUGAAGAUUCCGAUCCGUAGCGUUAGCAACAAUGUAUGAUAUGUGCAAAAGCACGAGGAGGAUUUUCAAUUAUGGAACAAGGUACAGUUAAAUGGUUUAACGCAGAAAAAGGUUUUGGCUUCAUCGAACGCGAAAACGGAGACGAUGUAUUCGUACACUUCUCAGCUAUCCAAUCUGAAGGUUUCAAAUCUUUGGAAGAAGGCCAAGCAGUAACUUUCGACGUUGAAGAAGGUAACCGCGGACCACAAGCAACUAACGUUGUUAAAGCUUAAUUCAAAUUAAACUUAUAGGAACCUGAUCUUCGGAUCGGGUUCUUUUU